GCCGGGGAGGCCUAGUGGUUUGAGUGUGGGUCUAUGACUCUGGAGACCAGGGUUCGAUUCCCAGCUCAGAAA